AUACAGAGAGCUGUGAAAGCCUGUCUGCAGAUGAAGAGGUCCCAAUGAAGAGCAGUGGUUCUCAGUCCUGGUCCUGGAGACUGGACCUGUUUUUGCCUUAGCUCUGAUUCAAAUGAUCAAGUCAUCAAGCUUCAAGUGAUACCUUGUAACUGGAGAUUCCUUCAAAAUGAUUGUCUACAGUUACCGUGUAGGGCACUGCAAGGUUGGGUGAUCAGGGCCAUCUGGGACUGCCUCCUGGAGGAAUUCAGGCGUUUGAAGGCUACCUGUGUCGUGCAUAACUUCAUGAGGAUGGACACGAGGACCAGGAGGGGGAUCUGCAGCUCGCCACCGUGUGCCAGAGGAGAGGUCUGCUGCUCUACAGUAUGUUUCAAUGAUUGGGGCCAACAACGCAGCAUGGGAGGAAAUCCGUGUGCGGGAUAUCUUCACCUCCUACUUCUUCAGAGGGUGCUGUUCCCUGGCAAAACCAUAGACUACAAUGCACAACCAAAGGCUAUUUUAAGAGCCAUCCACAUUGCAAUAAGAGUAUUCUUCCAUUUACUUAGCUAUGUCAACUGCAGUUUUUAAAUUCCCAGUUUCUCUCCUUUUGAUUUCUACUUCUCAGGUGAGGGUGCUGUUCAGGUAAGGGUGAUGUCUGUACAAAACAGGCUCUUUUAAGAGUCCCCCAAAUUUUGAACAAUUAGACACCCUAUAAUAUAAUAUAGACACCCUAUAAUAUAAGACGUGUGUAUCAAUCUGAUUGAUGGAUUGUGUUGGGCAGUAAGCAGGCUCAGGUGUGGCUCCUUCCACCUUCAAAUAGGCAAGAGGACCAGCCACGGAGAAUAGUAAGAUACAUCAUUAGUUCUAUAACUACGCUAUAUUGUUUGUCCUUGUGUGUCUGUGCAUGUUUUUCAAUAAAGUACCCUGCAGCCACUUAGUGUGGAUACCAGGUGAGACCACACA